GACGAACGCUGGCGGCGUGCUUAACGCAUGCAAGUCGAACGGAAAGGCCCUGCUUUUGUGGGGUGCUCGAGUGGCGAACGGGUGAGUAACACGUGAGUAACCUGCCCUUGACUUUGGGAUAACUUCAGGAAACUGGGGCUAAUACCGGAUAGGAGCUCCUGCUGCAUGGUGGGGGUUGGAAAGUUUCGGCGGUUGGGGAUGGACUCGCGGCUUAUCAGCUUGUUGGUGAGGUAGUGGCUUACCAAGGCUUUGACGGGUCGCCGGCCUGAGAGGGUGACCGGCCACAUUGGGACUGAGAUACGGCCAAGACUCCAACGGGAGGCAGCAGUGGGGAAUAUUGAACAAUGGGCGGAAGCCUGAUGCAGCAACGCCGCGUGCGGGAUGACGGCCUUCGGGUUGUAAACCGCUUUCGCCUGUGACGAAGCGUGAGUGACGGUAAUGGGUAAAGAAGCACCGGCUAACUACGUG
rnacentral:rRNA from 1 species